UCUAACCCUCUUCUUCUAUAUUCCCUUGUAAACUAUUUCUCGUCCACCUGUUCCUGGUUAGAUAUUCUUAACAGGUGAUGGGCGUGAGUGCAAAGGAGACUCGGAGGUGAUGCGGAUGCGGAAGCUGUACAGACACGGAUAAUGCUCGACUUGCAGGCAAGCUCUGCAAGCUCUCACGGCUUUACUAUGAGGAAGCCGUCCAAUCUUCCGUUUUUGGACUCCUCGAGGCGUUGCUACUUUUGGGGAGGGCAUUCCGACUAUAUCGCGCCAUACUAUUGUUUCUGCUUUCCGUUAAUAAUGUAAGUAUAUCUGACACAUCCCUUGUUUAAAG